CUCAUCCUCCGAUGUCAUUUGAAGUUGAUGGAUCUGGUUUGAACUCAGGAACAUUGAUCGCACCCACCAGUUGUCGCUGUCACCACCAGAGCACACCACGGAAUGCUGCUUGCACUUGGAGCAGUCACCUGUGUAGCAGGAUACAGUUGCAUCUAACACUGCAGGUGGUCCUGAGGUCGGUUGUCUUCCCUACAUGGAUGGAUGUUGGGAUCUAGCUGACCUCUCCUGUAGUCAGACUUCCAAGCGGACCUGGACCUUUUCGCAUGCUGCUUGUGCUGUUCUGCUAACAACAACAUACUUGUUUUCUUGACAGCAGAAGCUCCAACAUCAACAUCUCAUCCUCCGAUGUCAUUUGAAGUUGAUGGAUCUGGUUUGAACUCAGGAACAUUGAUCGCACCCACCAGUUGUCGCUGUCACCACCAGAGCACACCACGGAAUGCUGCUUGCACUUGGAGCAGUCACCUGUGUAGCAGGAUACAGUUGCAUCUAACA